rnacentral:lncRNA from 1 species
CCUUCAGCUGCGACUCGCGCAGACGCACCAGCUCCUCCAGGUAGCCCUGCGGGGCGCCGGCUCAGCCCGGGCGGCUGGGAGGACGUCCCGGCCGCGGCCCCCAUCCCCGCCCCGCCCCGGGAUGCCCGGAUCCCCCGCCCGGCCCGCCCGCCCCCCGGGCCCGCCGGCGUCGCGCACCUUCUGCGCGUAGACGAUGCGGAACUUCUGCUCCAUCUUGUGCCACUUGCUGUACCAGCUGUCCUCAUCGGUGACGAGCGGGAGGUAAAGAAAUUGAUGGUCCAAGAGGUUGACUGAUCUGUUCGGAGUCACAUGGCUUAUGAGUAGUCAAGCAGGAACAUCCCUCCCAGGACUCACUCACACCUAUUCUCCAACUCUGCCUACCUGCUCAAUUCACCUGAUGCUCUGCCAGUGGAUUGCUGAUGUCUCUACAUUGAUUCAGAUUUGCACCCACAUCUGAAAAUGGUCAGCAGGCAGGGACCCUCUGUCACCACAGGUGGAGGAAGAGGAGAUGAAAGAGCCUUGUCUGACACCCUGGAGACUGGGAAACUACCCAGACUGUGUCCUCUCCCUCUUACUCUCCUAAAGGAAGACAAGGAAGACAAUGACAAAUGGCGUUUGCAGCAAAGCAACACCAACAGCCAACUUGAUGCUCAAGAGAGAACGCUAUGCCUCUUCCUCAUGGUUUCCAGUGCUCUACACAUUCUGAGAAACUUUUCUGGUUCUACUUCUGGAGGGAACCCAAACCAACACAUUUGAUAUCCAAAGUUGUCCUAGGAAGUAGACCCCCAGGAUAAGAUUCUGGUUUUGGAUCACUCAUCAUCCAGAUGGCCCAAAGAUUCCAUUGCUGAGGGUCUCACUCUGUUGCCCAGGCUGGAGUGCACUGGCGCAAUCACGGCUCACUUCAGCCUCAACCUCCCAGGCUCAAGAGAUCCUCUGCUCUCUGCCUUCCAAGUAGCUGAGACUACAGCCACACACCAUCAUGCCCAGCUAAUUUUUUUUUUUUGGAGACAAAGUCUUGCUCUAUCGCCAGGCUGGAGUGCAGUGGUGUGAUCUCAGCUCACUGCAACCUCCACCUCCC